UUCCUGGUGGUCCAGUGGUUAAGACUCUACACUUUCAAUGCAGAGGGCACAGGUUCCAUCCCUGAUCAGGGAA
rnacentral:tRNA from 1 species